rnacentral:tRNA from 1 species
UGGGGCGUAGCCAAGUGGUAAGGCAGCGGUUUUUGGUACCGCCACCCGUAGGUUCGAAUCCUGCCGCCCCAACCA